rnacentral:lncRNA from 1 species
UACGUGGCCGACACGGCAGAAAAACCAGUUGAGAUCCCACCAGUGGCAGCACCAUUCACUAAGGAGCAGGCUGGUGCCCUGGAGAAAUUCAUCAAGCAGGUUAUGAACAAGGGUGCGUCAACUUCUCAGAAUCCAGCAGAUAUGUACUCCAGUUUGUUUGCUAAUCAAGGUAACCUAUCUCAUACCUAUUCAGUUAAAUCUCAAAGGUGUGUAAAUUAGAUUGUUGAUUCAGGCUGCUCAGAACAUAUGACUGGUUCUAGGGAUGUGUUAAUCGAUUAUCAGCCAGCCCUAUCCUAAGAAAGCAGGAGUUAGGAUAGAUGUUGGUAGCUUAUCCUCAGUGGAAGGGAUAGGCAGAGUUUGGAUCAACUCUCAUAUAAAACUAUUCCCAGUCUUAUAUGUACCGAAUUUAACCUGCAAUCUAGUGUCCAUUAGUCAACUUACAAAGGAUUUAAGUUGCAAAGCUAUCUUCCGUUCUAAUCGAUGUUCCCUGCAGGAGGAAGGCUAUGGGAGGACGAUUGGAACUGCUAAAUUGCAUGAAAACUUGUUCAUCCUUGAGGGAGCUACGGAUGAGG